UUGCCUCAGUAACGGCGAGUGAAGCGGCAACAGCUCAAAUUUGAAAUCUGGCUCCCCUGGGGGCCCGAGUUGUAAUUUGUAGAGGAUGCUUCGGCGUGGGCCCCGGUCUAAGUUCCUUGGAACAGGACGUCACAGAGGGUGAGAAUCCCGUACGUGGCCGUGGGUGCUCGCCAUGUGAAGCUCCUUCGACGAGUCGAGUUGUUUGGGAAUGCAGCUCUAAAUGGGAGGUAAAUUUCUUCUAAAGCUAAAUACUGGCCAGAGACCGAUAGCGCACAAGUAGAGUGAUCGAAAGAUGAAAAGCACUUUGGAAAGAGAGUCAAAAAGUACGUGAAAUUGUUGAAAGGGAAGCGCUUGCAACCAGACCUGCCUGCGGUUGCUCAUCCGGGCUCCUGCCCGGUGCACUCUUCCGCAGUCAGGCCAGCAUCAGCUCUGGCGGUCGGAUAAAGGCGGCGGGAAUGUGGCUCCCCUCGGGGAGUGUUAUAGCCCGCCGUGCAAUGCGGCCAGCCGGGACUGAGGUCCGCGCUUCGGCUAGGAUGCUGGCGUAAUGGUUGUAAGCGGCCCGUCUUGAAACACGGACCAAGGAGUCUAACAUCUGUGCGAGUGUUUGGGUGUCAAGCCCAGGCGCGUAAUGAAAGUGAACGGAGGCGGGAACCUUCGGGUGCACCGUCGACCGAUCCUGAUGUCUUCGGAUGGAUUUGAGUAAGAGCAUAGCUGUUGGGACCCGAAAGAUGGUGAACUAUGCCUGAAUAGGGUGAAGCCAGAGGAAACUCUGGUGGAGGCUCGCAGCGGUUCUGACGUGCAAAUCGAUCGUCAAAUUUGGGCAUAGGGGCGAAAGACUAAUCGAACUAUCUAGUAGCUGGUUCCUGCAGAGU
rnacentral:rRNA from 1 species